CAAAAACAUUGCUUCUUGACUUAGUAUAAGAAGUAAUUCCUGCCCAGUGAUUCAACGGCCGCGGUAUCCUAACCGUGCAAAGGUAGCAUAAUCACUUGCCCAUUAAUUGUGGGCUAGAAUGAAAGGACUAACGAAAUAAAAACUGUCUCUAUAAGUUUAAUAAAAAUUAAUCUCUAACUGAAGACUGUUAGAUAACGUUGAAGGACAAGAAGACCCUAUAGAGCUUUAUUUUGAUAAGUAAUAAUAACUUAUAAAGAAUUCGGUUGGGGCGACCAGGGAAAAAUUCAUCAUCCCUUAAAAAAAGAUAAAUAAAUCACUUUAUUGACCCUAAAAUGAUCAUUAAAACAAGCUACCUUAGGGAUAACAGGCUAAUCCCAUUAAAGAGUCCUUAUCAAUAGUGGGGAUUGGCACCUCGAUGUUGGCUUAGGGAAUCUAUGUGGCGCAAAAGUCAUAUAAAGAUGGUUUGUUCAACCAAUAAUACCCUACAUGAUCU
rnacentral:rRNA from 1 species